rnacentral:tRNA from 1 species
AGUAAGAUAAGCUAAUUAAGCUAUCGGGCCCAUACCCCGAAAAUGUUGGUUUUAAUCCUUCUCAUACUA